GGAUAACAGAUAGAAAUGUCUGCUAAUACCGCAUAAGACCACAGCACCGCAUGGUGCAGGGGUAAAAACUCCGGUGGUAUGGGAUGGACCCGCGUCUGAUUAGCUGGUGGGUGAGGUAAAGGCUCACCAAGGCGACGAUCAGUAGCCGACCUGAGAGGGUGACCGGCCACAUUGGGACUGAGACACGGCCCAAACUCCUACGGGAGGCAGCAGUGGGGAAUAUUGCACAAUGGGGGAAACUCUGAUGCAGCGACGCCGCGUGAAGGAUGAAGUAUUUCGGUAUGUAAACUUCUAUCAGCAGGGAAGAAAAUGACGGUACCUGACUAAGAAGCCCCGGCUAACUACGUGCCAGCAGCCGCGGUAAUACGUAGGGGGCAAGCGUUAUCCGGAUUUACUGGGUGUAAAGGGAGCGUAGACGGUAUGGCAAGUCUGAUGUGAAAACCCGGGGCUCAACCCCGGGACUGCAUUGGAAACUGUCGGACCAGAGUGUCGGAGAGGCAAGUGGAAUUCCUAGUGUAGCGGUGAAAUGCGUAGAUAUUAGGAGGAACACCAGUGGCGAAGGCGGCUUGCUGGACGAUGACUGACGUUGAGGCUCGAAAGCGUGGGGAGCAAACAGGAUUAGAUACCCUGGUAGUCCACGCCGUAAACGAUGACUACUAGGUGUCGGGUGGCAAAGCCAUUCGGU
rnacentral:rRNA from 1 species